rnacentral:rRNA from 1 species
GACGAACGCUGGCGGCGUGCUUAACACAUGCAAGUCGAACGGAAAGGCCCUGCUUUUGUGGGGUGCUCGAGUGGCGAACGGGUGAGUAACACGUGAGUAACCUGCCCUUGACUUUGGGAUAACUUCAGGAAACUGGGGCUAAUACCGGUUAGGAUCUCCUGAUGCAUGGUGGGGGUUGGAAAGUUUCGGCGGUUGGGGAUGGACUCGCGGCUUACCAGCUUGUUGGUGGGGUAGUGGCUUACCAAGGCUUUGACGGUUAGCCGGCCUGAGAGGGUGACCGGCCACAUUGGGACUGAGAGACGGCCCAGACUCCUACGGGAGGCAGCAGUGGGGAAUAUUGCACAAUGGGCGGAAGCCUGUUGCAGCGACGCCGCGUGCGGGAUGACGGCCUUCGGGUUGUGAACCGCUUUCGCCUGUGACGAAGCGUGAGUGACGGUAAUGGGUAAAGAAGCACCGGCUAACUACGUG